rnacentral:rRNA from 1 species
CGGUAGAUCAAGCCUUCGCAGGGACUAAUUUACUAGAGUUACUUACGAGGGGGUAUUAAAGUACUGCAGGUGUAGGGAUGAAAUUCUGUCAUACCUCUUUUCGAAAGAAAAAUUAUGGCACAGGUAUAGGUGAAAGCAUCCCCUUAUGUGAUAACUGACGUUGAAGGACGAAGGCUUUGUGUCGCGAACAGGAUUAGAUACCCCAGUAGUCAAAGCAGAAAAUGAUGAAUGUCAUAGAUUAGAUAAAUAGUUUAUUCUAUAAAUGAAAAUGUAAGCAUUCCACCUCAAGAGUAAUUUGGCAACAUUGGAACUGAAAUCAUUAGACCGUUUCUGAAACCAGUAGUGAAGUAUGUUGUUUAAUUUGAUGAUCCGCAAAAAACCUUACCACAAUUUGAAUAUUUAUAUCUAUCUUCUUUUUUCGUAAAAAAAUAAAAAGGUAAUAUAUUUACAAGCGUUGCACGGCUGUCUUCAGUUAAUGUCGCGAGACUUUGGUUAGUUCCAUUAAAUUAACGUAAACCCUUACUUUAUUUUUAUAUAAAGUAGUUCCCCGCUAUAUUGGAUAUGAUAACAGGGACUAAGACAAGUCAUCAUGGCCUGAAUAUUGUGGGCUAUAGACGUGCCACAUAAACCUUACAAAAGGGUGUGAAAUUGUGAAAUUGAGCUAAUCCCCCAAAAAUG